rnacentral:rRNA from 1 species
AGAACUUAGCAGAGAUGCUUUGGUGCCUUCGGGAACUCUGAGACAGGUGCUGCAUGGCUGUCGUCAGCUCGUGUUGUGAAAUGUUGGGUUAAGUCCCGCAACGAGCGCAACCCUUAUCCUUUGUUGCCAGCGAUUCGGUCGGGAACUCAAAGGAGACUGCCAGUGAUAAACUGGAGGAAGGUGGGGAUGACGUCAAGUCAUCAUGGCCCUUACGAGUAGGGCUACACACGUGCUACAAUGGCAUAUACAAAGAGAAGCGACCUCGCGAGAGCAAGCGGACCUCAUAAAGUAUGUCGUAGUCCGGAUUGGAGUCUGCAACUCGACUCCAUGAAGUCGGAAUCGCUAGUAAUCGUGGAUCAGAAUGCCACGGUGAAUACGUUCCCGGGCCUUGUACACACCGCCCGUCACACCAUGGGAGUGGGUUGCAAAAGAAGUAGGUAGCUUAACCUUCGGGAGGGCGCUUACCACUUUGUGAUUCAUGACUGGGGUGAAGUCGUAACAAGGUAACCGUAGGGGAACCUGCGGUUGGAUCACC